GACGAACGCUGGCGGCGUGCUUAACACAUGCAAGUCGAACGGAAAGGCUCCAGCUUGCUGGAGUACUCGAGUGGCGAACGGGUGAGUAACACGUGGGCAAUCUGCCCUGCACUCUGGGAUAAGCCUGGGAAACUGGGUCUAAUACUGGAUAGGACCUUUCUCCUCAUGGGGUUUGGUGGAAAGUUUUUCGGUGCAGGAUGAGCCCGCGGCCUAUCAGCUUGUUGGUGGGGUAAUGGCCUACCAAGGCGACGACGGGUAGCCGGCCUGAGAGGGUGAUCGGCCACAUUGGGACUGAGAUACGGCCCAGACUCCUACGGGAGGCAGCAGUGGGGAAUAUUGCACAAUGGGCGGAAGCCUGAUGCAGCGACGCCGCGUGAGGGAUGACGGCCUUCGGGUUGUAAACCUCUUUCAGUAGGGACGAAGCGUAAGUGACGGUACCUGCAGAAGAAGCACCGGCUAACUACGUGCCAGCAGCCGCGGUAAUACGUAGGGUGCGAGCGUUGUCCGGAAUUACUGGGCGUAAAGAGCUCGUAGGCGGUUUGUCACGUCGUCUGUGAAAUCCUAGGGCUUAACCCUGGACGUGCAGGCGAUACGGGCUGACUUGAGUACUACAGGGGAGACUGGAAUUUCUGGUGUAGCGGUGGAAUGCACAGAUAUCAGGAAGAACACCGAUGGCGAAGGCAGGUCUCUGGGUAGUAACUGACGCUGAGGAGCGAAAGCAUGGGUAGCGAACAGG
rnacentral:rRNA from 2 species